GCCUACGGGGGGCAGCAGUGGGGGAUAUUGCACAAUGGGGGGAACCCUGAUGCAGCGACGCCGCGUGGGCGAAGAAGUAUUUCGGUAUGUAAAGCCCUAUCAGCAGGGAAGAAGAAAUGACGGUACCUGAGUAAGAAGCACCGGCUAAAUACGUGCCAGCAGCCGCGGUAAUACGUAUGGUGCAAGCGUUAUCCGGAUUUACUGGGUGUAAAGGGAGCGCAGGCGGCACGGCAAGCCUGAUGUGAAAGCCCGCGGCCCAACCGCGGGGCUGCAUUGGGAACUGGCGCGCUGGAGUGCCGGAGGGG
rnacentral:rRNA from 1 species